rnacentral:rRNA from 1 species
GACGAACGCUGGCGGCGUGCUUAACACAUGCAAGUCGAACGGAAAGGCCCUGCUUUUGUGGGGUGCUCGAGUGGCGAACGGGUGAGUAACACGUGAGUAACCUGCCCUUGACUUUGGGAUAACUUCAGGAAACUGGGGCUAAUACCGGAUAGGAGCUCCUGCUGCAUGGUGGGGGUUGGAAAGUUUCGGCGGUUGGGGAUGGACUCGCGGCUUAUCAGCUUGUUGGUGGGGUAGUGGCUUACCAAGGCUUUGACGGGUAGCCGGCCUGAGAGGGUGACCGGCCACAUUGGGACUGAGAUACGGCCCAGACUCCUACGGGAGGCAGCAGUGGGGAAUAUUGCACAAUGGGCGGAAGCCUGAUGCAGCAACGCCGCGUGCGGGAUGACGGCCUUCGGGUUGUAAACCGCUUUCGCCUGUGACGAAGCGUGAGUGACGGUAAUGGGUAAAGAAGCACCGGCUAACUACGUGCCAGCAGCCGCGGUGAUACGUAGGGUGCGAGCGUUGUCCGGAUUUAUUGGGCGUAAAGGGCUCGUAGGUGGUUGAUCGCGUCGGAAGUGUAAUCUUGGGGCUUAACCCUGAGCGUGCUUUCGAUACGGGUUGACUUGAGGAAGGUAGGGGAGAAUGGAAUUCCUGGUGGAGCGGUGGAAUGCGCAGAUAUCAGGAGGAACACCAGUGGCGAAGGCGGUUCUCUGGGCCUUUCCUGACGCUGAGGAGCGAAAGCGUGGGGAGCGAACAGGCUUAGAUACCCUGGUAGUCCACGCUGUAAACGGUGGGUACUAGGUGUGGGGUCCAUUCCACGGGUUCCGUGCCGUAGCUAACGCUUUAAGUACCCCGCCUGGGGAGUACGGCCGCAAGGCUAAAACUCAAAGGAAUUGACGGGGCCCCGCACAAGCGGCGGAGCAUGCGGAUUAAUUCGAUGCAACGCGUAGAACCUUACCUGGGUUUGACAUGGAUCGGGAGUGCUCAGAGAUGGGUGUGCCUCUUUUGGGGUCGGUUCACAGGUGGUGCAUGGCUGUUGUCAGCUCGUGUCGUGAGAUGUUGGGUUAAGUCCCGCAACGAGCGCAACCCUUGUUCACUGUUGCCAGCACGUUAUGGUGGGGACUCAGUGGAGACCGCCGGGGUCAACUCGGAGGAAGGUGGGGAUGACGUCAAGUCAUCAUGCCCCUUAUGUCCAGGGCUUCACGCAUGCUACAAUGGCUGGUACAGAGAGUGGCGAGCCUGUGAGGGUGAGCGAAUCUCGGAAAGCCGGUCUCAGUUCGGAUUGGGGUCUGCAACCCGACCUCAUGAAGUCGGAGUCGCUAGUAAUCGCAGAUCAGCAACGCUGCGGUGAAUACGUUCCCGGGGCU